CUGAUGAUGUCAGCAGGCAGUGGACAGGUCUAAAGGAAACAGAGCCAGAGCUAGCAGCUCCAAACUUGAAUACAAGUAAGAUUUAAAAAAAAUUUUUUAGAGAGGCAUGGGGGGACCAGGGUGGCUAGAUGGUGUUUUUAACCCUAUAUGUCAGGAAUACAUGUUUGUGUUCCUGACCCUAUAGUGCUCCUUUUAGUAUAAUAUCUGUAAUAAAUCAUUUGAAUGAAAGAGUUGCCUCAAAU